GGAGGAUCCAAGCGUUAUCCGGAUUUAUUGGGUUUAAAGGGUGCGUAGGCGGUUUGAUAAGUUAGAGGUGAAGUACAGGUGCUUAACACCGGAACUGCCUCUAAUACUGUUGAACUAGAGAGUAGUUGCGGUAGGCGGAAUGUAUGGUGUAGCGGUGAAAUGCUUAGAGAUCAUACAGAACACCGAUUGCGAAGGCAGCUUACCAAACUAUAUCUGACGUCGAGGCACGAAAGCGUGGGGAGCAAACAGGAUUAGAUACCCUGGUAGUCCACGCAGUAAACGAUGAUAACUCGCUGUCGGCGAUACACAGUCGGCGGCUAAGCGAAAGCGAUAAGUUAUCCACCUGGGGAGU
rnacentral:rRNA from 1 species